AGCGAUUACAAUCACUGGGGGGGGGGAGUGCCUAACAAUUUGGCACUCCCAGUGAUUGUACCUUUUCUUCUCCUAUAAGAGUUAAGUUAUAGGGGGCCCAGCCAUAGGGCACAAAUUAAAAGUUCUCUGCAUUGCAGUGAUAUCCCAUUUUCCAACCCGAACCUGUCCAGACCAAACCUUGAGUUUUGGACCACUCCAUGCCUCUCUGAUAAGUUUAGCAUGGAAAAUUUCCCCACAGCACAUUUACACAAUAUUACAGAGAAUAUUACAGAAUUCUGUACAGCAGUAUUCACUGAAGGGCCCCGGGCCCCAUACAAAAUGGGACAACAUUUUCCUUUCAUAACUCCGGCAAUUGGUCCUCUCAGUUCCCAAAGGGUUACAGAGCGUUGCUGAAAGAACACCGUUGGAAACGAGCCCCUGCCUCCCCUCAUGUUGUGGGCAUUCAUGUCAAAAUGAAAAGACAUUUUUGGGAAAGCAGUAAAAUUUCUCAUUUCAGCAUU